rnacentral:tRNA from 1 species
GGCCGGGUGGCGUAAUGGAUAGCAUAUCUGCCAACGGAGCAGAAGAUUCCAGGUUCGAAUCCUGGCGUGGUCG